UACGUAGGGUGCAAGCGUUGUCCGGAAUUAUUGGGCGUAAAGAGCUCGUAGGCGGUUUGUUGCGUCGGCUGUGAAAUCCCGAGGCUCAACCUCGGGUCUGCAGUCGAUACGAGCAAACUAGAGUGUUGCAGGGGAGACUGGAAUUCCUGGUGUAGCGGUGAAAUGCGCAGAUAUCUGGAGGAACACCAGUGGCGAAGGCGGCAUCCUGGCCGUGUACUGACGCUCAGGGGCGAAAGCGUGGGGAGCAAACCGG
rnacentral:rRNA from 1 species